rnacentral:rRNA from 1 species
GAUGAACGCUGGCGGCGUGCCUAAUACAUGCAAGUCGAGCGAACGGACGAGAAGCUUGCUUCUCUGAUGUUAGCGGCGGACGGGUGAGUAACACGUGGAUAACCUACCUAUAAGACUGGGAUAAAUUCGGGAAAACGGAGCUAAUACCGGAUAAUAUUUUGAACCGCAUGGUUCAAAAGUGAAAGACGGUCUUGCUGUCACUUAUAGAUGGAUCCGCGCUGCAUUAGCUAGUUGGUAAGGUAACGGCUUACCAAGGCAACGAUGCAUAGCCGACCUGAGAGGGUGAUCGGCCACACUGGAACUGAGACACGGUCCAGACUCCUACGGGAGGCAGCAGUAGGGAAUCUUCCGCAAUGGGCGAAAGCCUGACGGAGCAACGCCGCGUGAGUGAUGAAGGUCUUCGGAUCGUAAAACUCUGUUAUUAGGGAAGAACAUAUGUGUAAGUAACUGUGCACAUCUUGACGGUACCUAAUCAGAAAGCCACGGCUAACUACGUG